GUAUUGUAUUGCGUUAAACGCGUCACACAUUCCAUGAGACUUUAUUACAGUGUGUGUGUGUGUAAAUACAUAGGGCCACAGCAGGGGGGACAGAGCCCCCAGGCUGCAGAACUAUGGAGGGUGCACAGGUGUGAGUGGAUGUACAAACAGAGCGUGCACAUGCCCCCAUUCGAGGACCAGCAACAACUCGUGUUGACAAUUCGGUAAUGAUCCUUCCGCAGGUUCACCUACGGAAA
rnacentral:misc_RNA from 1 species